CCUGAACAAUGCCUGGGAAAGUUGUGUUCUGCUCUCUGCAGCCAGAGAAUUGUGGCCACAUAUGACAUGUUCAAACAUAAUGGAAAAGAAGAGGAUUAAUGUGGCAGAGGGGUAGAUCCAGGUACCCUGAGUCUUAUUAAAAAGAAAAUAAACAUGCAGAGUUGCAGUCUGACCUUAUUAAGCAGGAGAAGAUAGAAGAAGGCAGUUAAAACAAAUAUACAUCCUUGGAAAUUGAAGUGAUAUGGCAAAAUUCCUGUUUCUCUGCCCUCAGGAAGGACACACCAGGCUGGCUUUGAAGCGUCAGCAGGAUUAGAAGACAGCAGCAUGCCCUUGCUUCCUGAUAAAGAAUCAGCUUAGCCAGCGCAGGACUUCAUAUCCAAGCAGCAAGGGCAGCACAUACUUUUCUGAGUUGUUUGUUCAAAUACCACUGUUGAUAAAUAAACUUCAAGCAUGUUUGAAAGCUA